rnacentral:misc_RNA from 1 species
UUUCCGUAGGUGAACCUGCGGAAGGAUCAUUCAUAAUAAAGUGUUUUAUGGUACUUUUUAAAAAUCCAUAUCCACCUUGUGUGCAAUGUUAGAUCUCGUCAAUCUUGGCGAGAUUUUUAUACAUCAACUCAUUCUUUAACUAAUUUGUCUGAAAAAUAUUAUGAAUACUUAAUUCAAAAUACAACUUUCAACAACGGAUCUCUUGGCUCUC